rnacentral:lncRNA from 1 species
GUUACAAUGCGAGAGCAGAUGGCCUGGCAUCCAUUUGAUGGUACCGGAAUAUGCAAAAGCAGUCUCAGAAUACUUACUUGAAGGGACCCGAGACUAUUCUUUUUGGAUUACAUAUUUGAAGAUAGGUGAUCAGUUCCUCCAUCGACCAUCCAUGGCAAGUGUCUAAAGCUUGCGAAAGUGAUUUUCUAAUACUUGCAAGCUUUCUAUUCCCAAGCAUCCACCUCCUUAUUCUCUUUCUUCUUGCUUGGCUUUAAGAGUCUCUUUAAUUCUCCAAUCAUUAUAGCUUUCUUUUCAUCGAGAGCCUCCUUUUUGGAAGGGACUUCCGUCAGUUUACCUUGUAAUACACCGGGAAACCUUCUCACAGGUCACAACCAAACCACUCCAACCUCUGCCCACGAAUCACAAGAGUGUAUGUAUCAUAUCCACCUCGGCUAGAGAAGAGCAUUUGGCCAGAACUCAUUGGCAGUUUCUUAUCUCUGCGGAAGAGAAGUUUUUUAGACAGAAAUCUAGAGUGGGGUGGAUGCAUCUUGGUGAUAGGAAUACAGCUUAUUUCCACAAGUGUGUGUCUCAACGUGCUGCAAGAAACCAUAUUCAUUUUUUGCGAGACGCUACUGAUAGAAAGAUUGUUGAGACCACAGAAAUAAAAGAGUAUGCGGCUGACUACUUUCAAGGUAUCAUAGGAAGCACUAGUAUGCCUAGCUCUCCUGUGUCCAUUUCUGAGUUGCAGGUUCUUCUCUCUUUUAGAUGCAAUGACACUCAACAGCAUGAGCUUCAGAAAUUGGUGUCUGCGGAAGAAGUUAAGGCAGCACUUUUUGCAAAGCCACUUAACAAGAGUCCAGGCCCUGAUGGGUUCUCUGUGGAAUUUUAUCGAGCAUCAUGGGACACUGUAGGAGCUGAUGUUAUCUCAGCAGUUCAGGAAUUUUUCAGGAAUGGGCGCCUUCUAAAGGAUUUCAAUAACACAUCAAUUACUCUUAUCCCGAAGCAGCCUGAAGCGUGCCACUUGGGAGAUUAUCGCCCGAUUAGCUGCUGUAAUCUGACUUAUAAAAUCAUCUCGAAGAUCAUUGCCAACCGUCUAAAGCCUCUUCUUCAAGACUGCAUCAGUCCAAACCAGGCUGCUUUCCUAAAAGGGAGAAGUCUUGGUGAAAAUGUCCUACUUGCCUCAGAUUUAAUCAGAAACUACCAAAAAGAAAACUGCCCUAAGAGUUGCAUGCUCAAGUUGGACAUUAGAAAGGCUUUCGACACAGUUUGUUGGGAUUUCGUGUUGAAAGUUCUCGCAGCUCAAAACUUUCCACCUCUCUUUUGUACUUGGAUCAAUGAAUGCAUCUCCUCUCCUAGGUUCUCUAUUUCAAUUAAUGGUGAGCUUGCGGGUUUUUUCCCAUGCAAGAAAGGUAUUCGACAGGGAGAUCCUAUCUCUCCUUAUCUGUUUAUCAUGGUCAUGGAGGUGCUCUCGAAAUUAUUGGAAAAGGCUGUGGUGCAAGGGGACAUAAGGCUUCACCCUCUAUGCUCUUCCCCUGUCGUCACUCACCUUCUUUUUGCUGAUGACUUGUUAUUAUUCUCUGAUGGUGCUAGGCAUUCGUUGACUGGUAUUGCCAAGGUUAUGCUCCAUUUCAAGAGGUUAAGUGGGCUGGAAGUGAACCCCUCAAAGUCUGAGAUUUUCUUCGGGGGUUAUUCGGAUUCUCAGGUGGCAGUCCUUAGUGCCUUGCAAGGAAUAAGUGUUGGCUCUUUCCCCACUAGAUACUUGAGGCUACCUCUCAACCCGGCCAGAAUCUCAUUUGCUACCUUGCAGCCAUUUAUUGAGAAAAUCACCAACAAGCUUCAUGUGUGGACGGUAAGGUUUCUAUCCUUUGCUGGGAAAAUACGCCUUAUCUCUUUAAUUUAUGGCAUGGUCAAUUUUUGGAGUUCUGUGUUCAAUCUGCCAAAAAGGUUUUAUGCCAAGGUGGACUCUCUAUGUGCUGCUUUCCUAUGGAAGAACAAAGUGUCAAAUGCUGCGGGGUCUAGAGUAGCUUGGAUUGAUGUUUGUAAGCCCAAGGAAGAAGGUGGACUUGGUAUUCGGCUGCUUGAGGACUUUGCCAUUGUCUUUCAGCUGAAGCUUAUUUGGAACUUAUUUACCAAUGCGGGCUCUUUAUGGGUAGCUUGGCUCAAAGGUAACAUUUUCCUCAGGAAAAGCUAUUGGACCAUUGUAGACAGUCUGAGGCUCUCAAGGACCGUCAAAAACAUGAUUCGGCUAAAACCAUAUAUUGUUAACUUUAUGCGCUGUGAAGUGGGUAACGGGAAUCAUGCUUCAUUCUGGUUUGAUCAUUGGACUGUCCAUGGUCCUUUGAUUUCUUUCUUAGGAGCGACUGGGCCUAGGGACUUGAGAGUAAGGAGAGAAGCUCUUGUUGCUGAGGCAGCUAGAAAUGGAGAGUGGCGGAUGCCGGGUGCUCGAUCUGAGAAUCAACAACAGCUCAUGAUCACACUAACAACCAUUACUCCUCCAAAUAUCUCUAAUGGUCAGGAUAUCUAUCUAUGGCGUCGUGUGUCAGGAAGUUUUGCUGAAUUUUUCUCUUCUAAGGAAACUUGGGAGCAAUUGCGAACUCACUCUCCUUUGGUGUCUUGGAGUAAGGUGGUCUGGUUCAAGGAAGCGGUUCCUCGCUUCUCAUUUAUCACUUGGCUUGCGUUUAAAGGAAGAUUGCCUACGAAAUACAGAUUACGCGGUUGGGGACUGAAUAUCCCUGCAGCUUGUGUACUCUGUUCCAACGGAUUAGAAACUCACAACCAUCUAUUCUUUGAAUGUCCCUACUUAGCAACUGUUUGGCAUGCUUUUGCUUCGAGGAUCUUGAUCAAUCCACCAUCUACAAUCGCUUCCAUCUCUUCUUGGAUUUUGCAGGCUCAAGCUCCAGCUCAAUCUCAUGCUAUAAUCACCAUCAAGCUGCUUCUUCAAUCGGCGUGUUACUUCAUUUGGAGGGAGCGUAACGCAAGGAUUUUCACCUCCAUUAUCUCUCCCAGCUCAACUGUGCAAGCUUCUUUGGAUCGCUCCAUUCGAGACCGCUUCCUCUCUUUCCCGGGGGUUCUUCCUCCUCGGUUUCUUUACUUGCUUUCUACUUUGGUUGUAUCUCUUUCCCCUUCUAGCUUCUUGUCUUUUGUUUGAUUAAGUUGUUUUUUUUUUUGUCAUCUUGAAAUUUUAUUAUUGAAUUUGAUGUGAAACCAGAGUAGGAUUACAAACGCUCAAACAAGGGAACUUAAGCCGGCGGACAAACUGAAGUCCCCGGAAGCACUGCUGGAGGAAAAAGAAACUUCCCCGGAAUCUAGGCCCUAACAAGGGAGACGAAAAGAACUAGCAAUAGAAAGCAGAAAUUAUCAAACCACAAUCGAAAGAGGACGAAUUCUUAAAAUAAAAGCAGAGGCAACUAGGCUUAAACCAAAGGGAAAUGAUAGAUCCAAAGAAACAGAGAAUCAUCUUCUUCUGAAACACCUGCAAAUGCAAUUUAUCAAGGAUGCCCACGGCCAACCCAAAGAUAACAUAUACCUCCUCCUAUCAUUAAAAUGAAUUUUUCACUUUACAAUGUUUGAUUAAGUUGUUUCAACAUUGUAAAGUGAAAAAUUCAGAAAAUGGUAUAAAAUUUAACCUUGUACCAAAAAAAAAAUAUCCACCUCGGCCUUUGAAAUAUUGGCAUCUUUCUGACUUACAUUUUCGGCUUU